rnacentral:rRNA from 1 species
GACCUCGGAUCAGGUAGGGAUACCCGCUGAACUUAUGCAUAUCAAUAAGCGGAGGAAAAGAAACCAACAGGGAUUGCCUCAGUAACGGCGAGUGAAGCGGCAACAGCUCAAAUUUGAAAUCUGGCCUUCGGGUCCGAGUUGUAAUUUGCAGAGGAUGCUUCGAGCAUGGUCUAGUCUAAGUUCCUUGGAAUAGGACGUCAUAGAGGGUGAGAAUCCCGUAUGCGACUGGGUGCCUAAGCUCAUGUGAAGCUCCUUCGACGAGUCGAGUUGUUUGGGAAUGCAGCUCAAAAUGGGUGGUAAAUUUCAUCUAAAGCUAAAUAUUGGCCAGUGACCGAUAGCCCACAAGUAGAGUGAUCGAAAGAUGAAAAGCACUUUGGAAAGAGAGUUAAAUAGCACGUGAAAUUGUUGAAAGGGAAGCGC